CGAGGGGUAACAGAUCUUCGGAUGCUGACGACCGGCGAACGGGUGAGUAACACGUAUGCAACUUACCCAUAACUCGGGAAUAGCCCAAAGAAAUUUGGAUUAAUACCCAAUAAUACAGGCGUACCGCAUGGUAUUCUUCGUUAAAGAAUAAUCGGUUAUGGAUAGGCAUGCGUUCUAUUAGGUAGUUGGUGAGGUAACGGCUCACCAAGCCGACGAUGGAUAGGGGAACUGAGAGGUUGUCCCCCCACACUGGUACUGAGACACGGACCAGACUCCUACGGGAGGCAGCAGUGAGGAAUAUUGGUCAAUGGACGAAAGUCUGAACCAGCCAAAUCGCGUGAAGGAAGAAGGUAUUAUGUAUCGUAAACUUCUUUUGUAAGAGAGUAAAGUGCACUACGUGUAGUGUAUUGCAAGUACCUUACGAAUAAGCAUCGGCUAAUUCCGUGCCAGCAGCCGCGGUAAUACGGAAGAUGCAAGUGUUAUCCGGAUUUAUUGGGUUUAAAGGGUGCGUAGGUGGUCUAAUAAGUCAGUGGUGAAAUCUCUUUGCUUAACAAGGAAAUUGCCAUUGAAACUGUUAGACUUGAGAAUGGACGAGGUAGGCGGAAUUCGUAGUGUAGCGGUGAAAUGCAUAGAUAUUACGAAGAACUCCAAUAGUGUAGACUGCUUACCAGACCAUAUCUGGCACUAAGGCACGAAAGUGUGGGUAUCAAACAGGAUUAGAUACCCUGGUAGUCCACACAGUAAACGAUGAAUACUAACUGUUUGCGAUAUACAGCAAGUGGUCGAGCGAAAGCGUUAAGUAUUCCACCUGGGAAGUAUGCCGGCAACGGUGAAACUCAAAGGAAUUGACGGGGGCCCGCACAAGCGGAGGAACAUGUGGUUUAAUUCGAUAAUACGCGAGGAACCUUACCCG
rnacentral:rRNA from 1 species